ensembl:lncRNA
GAGAGAUGUACAGAGAGAGAUACAGAGAGAGAUAUACAGAGAGAGAGAUACAGAGAGAGAUGUACAGAGAGAUGUACAGAGAGAGAUACAGAGAGAGAUACAUACAGAGAGAGAGAUGUACAGAGAGAUAUACAGAGAGAGAUGUACAGAGAGAGAUGUACAGAGAGAGAUAUACAGAGAGAGAUAUACAGAGAGAUAUACAGAGAGAGAUGUACAGAGAGAGAGAUACAGAGAGAAAGAGAGAAAAACAGAUAAGUGAUAUAGCUCUGCUGCCCCCAAGAGGACAUCUGCAUUACUGCAUUACUCUCUCACCUGGUCGAGCGAGGCCUGCAGUCUAUGUGACUCUGUGAGAGCGGUGUGGAUCAGAGCGCUGCUCGCCUUCGUCUGAUUCAGAGACUCGAUCAGCUCCUUAUUCUCCAAAAUGUUCCCCUGAGCUGUGGCCAGAGUCUACACACACACACACACACACACACACACACACACACACACAGAGCGAUAUAAUAGAUAUGUACGUCGAAGUCGG